UACGAAGGGGGCUAGCGUUGCUCGGAAUCACUGGGCGUAAAGGGUGCGUAGGCGGGUCUUUUAAGUCAGGGGUGAAAUCCUGGAGCUCAACUCCAGAACUGCCUUUGAUACUGAAGAUCUUGAGUUCGGGAGAGGUGAGUGGAACUGCGAGUGUAGAGGUGAAAUUCGUAGAUAUUCGCAAGAACACCAGUGGCGAAGGCGGCUUACUGGUCCGGUUCUGACGCUGAGGCGCGAAAGCUAGGGGAGCAAACGGG
rnacentral:rRNA from 1 species